CUCUGACAUUAUUUUGAAAUAUGUCCGGAAGUGAAGCUGCGCGUGGUCUUGAAUUGUUAUUGAAUUCGUUGAGUUUGUUAAAACAGUAUUUUUUCCGUCAUUAUAGAUUCACUUAUUAAAGUUUCAGUUGUUGCGUAUGUGUGCGGAUACGCGCACAGGCUCGUGAUCGAUAUUGAUAUUUGACAGUUUGUUGUUGUCAUCAGUUAGUAGGAUUCAGUCGAUCAACAGGAUGUUGUGCGAGCUGCUUCUCUCUUCUAUCUGGCUUCUCUUUGUGAUCUUCUGGUUGGAGACCAUCAGUGUUUGGCUCUUCGUGUGUCUCUACUAUCAGGACAGAGUUUUCUAUCACUGGGGUUCUGGGGAUUUGUCAGACGAGCCCGGUCUCUUCCUCUAUGUGCUGAACAGGUGAUCUUCAGGUCUUAUAAGAACAGUAGGGUUUUAUAUGAAUGCCCUGACUCAAAUUCAGAUUAGAUCUUACUUCAUCUACUUCAGUCCUCUUUAAGAAAACCUAAACCCUUGUCGGACCAAGAGGUAAACCAAAUGAAAAAGGACUGGGUCUGUUUUUUUUUUUACCUUUGAUGUUUUAUCUUCUGGCACAGAGUUGAUUUCUCUACACAAACAUGAGCAUAUGAAGGCAUCAAGUGGAAGUAUUAGACUGAAACUGAAGCAAGAUGUUCAUGGAUCAAAGGGUCAGAGGUCAUAGUGAUGUCACUUCUCUGAAAACCCUUGUGGAGCAUAAGCUGAACCGUCUGAGAGUGUGUGUAAACUGCCUUUAAAGGAGAGUCCAUGAUGUUUGAAAGCCAAUGUUGAUAUUUGAAAUCACCUAAACAAACACGCCCCUACCCCAAUAGAAUCUGGACCUUCUGUUGAUAGACCCGCCCCACACAUACGCAACCCGGCAUUUGAUUUGAUUUGAUUGGCUAUAAGUGUGUUUUGGUAGUCGGCCCGUCUCCUUUUCCAACGCGUUUUUCAAACAUCGUGGACUCCGCCUUUAAAAGGAUUUAACUCGGAUAUAUUCAGCUGUUUUAUUUGAAUCUUUUUCAAGACUGAUAAUGUUUCUACACAACAUAUUUGACAAACUUUGUUUCACUUUGGAACAUAAACACUAUUUGCAUUUUAAGGCAACAUAAAGAAAAAGAGUUCAUUCAUAAGAUGAUUGAUUUCUAAACACCAUCAGUCAUGAUCUUACUGAUGUGUGCUGUUUAAAAAACUAAGAUUGGCAGAUUGCCUUUUUUCUAAAUAUGUUUUACUAUUUUUGUACUUUUUCUGUUAUUUUCCAAUAAAUAAAUAAAGCUGGUGAUUU